GAUGCGACGUUACGAAAAAAAAUUUAAAAACAUACAAAUUUAUAAGAAUAAAAAAAAAACUGCACAACGAAGGACAUUUUUUCGCCGUGCUGUUGCCAAAGUAUAUUAUUACCUGUGUUUUGUGUUCUGGGACACCGACUUCAAGAUUUGGAAGAUUGGCGCGAAGAUUGUACCAUAGAGCGUUUGGAUAUUAGAAGUUUGUCAUUCUGAGCAACAGGAAGAACAUGACAUCAACAUGCGACGCACUCUGGCUCUUUGUGCGCUUCCAGUGUAUCUCCGGGAGGAUGACACUGAAUUCUUCAAAACCUGUAAUGGUGAAGAUGAGGUGGAGAUCACUGACACCCAGCUAGCGCUCCUCUCUGUGGUCCCUGAC